UAAUUUUUUCAAUAUUUGUUUUCCAGUAGAAACAUUUGAUAUAAUGUAAAGAUAUUCGAUACCAUUUUCAUUGGUUGUCUCAAUAUGGUACCUGUUAAGUCGUAUAUCUUUAAAACUUAGCAGAUUCCUCCUUGAUUUAGUGAAAAAUAAAGCAUUAUCAAUGAUAAAUUUUGUUCCACUAGGAAGCAUUAUAUUGGCUCUUCCAGAGCCUUCAAUCAAGUCUGUUGAACCUGAUAUUGUAUUCACUUUUGCUUUCAUCAUUCUUAGAUUUGAAAAAUAAUGCUUAUGUCUGAGAAUGGUAUGUGUCGUUGCACUAUCUGCUAAGCAUAUAUCUCCACCAUUGAUAUUAGGCCCAUGUAUAGCAUGACGUAUAUCUAUAUUUUCU
rnacentral:lncRNA from 1 species